rnacentral:rRNA from 1 species
UACGUAGGGGGCAAGCGUUGUCCGGAAUUAUUGGGCGUAAAGAGCUCGUAGGCGGUUUGUCGCGUCGGCCGUGAAAUCCCGAGGCUCAACCUCGGGUCUGCAGUCGAUACGGGCAAACUGGAGUGUUGCAGGGGAGACUGGAAUUCCUGGUGUAGCGGUGAAAUGCGCAGAUAUCAGGAGGAACACCGGUGGCGAAGGCGGGUCUCUGGGCAACAACUGACGCUGAGGAGCGAAAGCGUGGGGAGCGAACAGG